rnacentral:lncRNA from 1 species
UUUAGGAGGAUGCGAUUUCUUCAACAAGUCAUUACAACUUCCCUAUUCAUCAGUAGCUUCCUCAUCUAGAUCUAUCUUCUUUCCGAGAUAAUGCUUUAUACGCCUAGCAUAGACAGGAAUUUGUUGAAGUGCUUUAGUCAACAGUAUAGUAAUCUCCAAUUGAUUGAAGAUUUCUCUAAAGCACUCACAUCUUCUCUCUACUUUCUCACCCCUUUGGGUAAGGAAGAAUUCUCUCAUCUUUUUCAAUUGUUUCCUCUUUUUCAAUUUUUUUUCUCUCCCUUCUUCUCUUCUUUUUUUCAACUCCCCCUCACAUAUUUUCUCUUCUUUUUCUUCUUCCCUCACUAACUCAACACUCUCCUUUUUCUCCUCUACUCUCACCUCAACAUUCACUAUAGUCUU